AGGCUCCUUCCCUCUUGUGUCUCUGCCCUUUCCUAGGGCCUUGAUGAACUUUAUGCCUGGCCAGUGGAUGAGGAAAGAUGGUGAAGAAGACCCACCUGCUUCUCUUCUGUCCCAAAGUUAUUUACUUUCACUCACAUUCCACUGGAAUGAAUAUUGACAAACUCAGUCACCCCGGAAGGAGCUACUCCUGGAAGAGGAACGGAGAACUGGAGAGGUAAGACCAACAGCCAAGAGUCAGAAAAACUUCUUUCUCUCCCUGGACCUCCCUGGUUGGGACUGGACUCUAAGGUGCAGAAGUAAUUUUGAUUUCAACGGCAUAAGAGAGUGGUUGGUCACUGCCAAGUGUAGACAG
rnacentral:lncRNA from 1 species